rnacentral:lncRNA from 10 species
CAGGCCCUCGGCCUCUUUGCACCGGGCAGAGUGACGAGCUUCGCCGGUGUCUUCAUUGAAGUCCUGUUGGUCCCUACCGGCACAUCACACACUCCUGGAAGCAUGAUCUUCACUCCCUUCCUUCCACCUGCUGACCUGGGGAGGAUACCGGGCACUCGGAAUCUGAGACCACCGGAGCCACAGACACAGGCGUGAACGGUGACCGAGCCCCCUCUGAUGCUCCAUGCCCCUGCUCGCCCCAGUGUCCCGGUCACCGGGCCUGAAAUAAAUGCUGGCACGCUUGACUGUU